rnacentral:rRNA from 1 species
CCCUUAGAUGUUCUGGGCUGCACGCGCGCGACACUGAAGCUAUCAACACGUUUUCCCUCCCUGAGAAGGGCGGGUAACCUUUUGAAUCAGCUUCGUGGUAGGGAUCGGGGCUUGCAAUUGUUCCCCGUGAACCAGGAAUUCCUAGUAGACGCGAGUCAUAAGCUCGCAUCGAUUAAGUCCCUGCCCUUUGUACACACCGCCCGUCGCUACUACCGAUUGAACGUUUUAGUGAGGCAUUUGGACCGACGCAUCUCAGUUUAACCGCUGGUUUGUGUUGGAAAGACUUCCAAACUUGAGCGUUUAGAGGAAGUAAAAGUCGUAACA